UCAGGGCAGUGCUCCUUCUAUGAGUCUAAAGAAGAGUUUCUGCCUUUGAUGCUUGCCAUGGUGGGCCAGAAGGGAAGUCCAAUUGUUUCAGCAUUGAAUAAGAGGAUACGGACGAUGACUGAGGUAGGAUUGUUUCAACACUGGAUGAAGGCCGCUGAAGCAAACUCCACCGUGUGUCAACACGCUCCGUCGAAAAUCAUCGUCCAAGAGUCACUUUCUAAUAAAAAUGUCUGGGGAAUGUUUGUCAUCUUCAUUGCUGGUCACACUGUCAGUGUGUUUGUACUCACCCUGGAGCUUGUGAUGGUCAACAUACUCCACUGAUGGACUCAUACAUCACUUGAAAAUUAUAUCAUAUUUAUUGUUUAUUCAUAGGUUAAUUUAUUUUAAUUUAAAUAUGGUUAUGCAUUAUAAUUCUAAACACCAACCAUUUAUGUUUUAAUUUUGCAA